AUACGUAGGGGGCGAGCGUUGUCCGGAAUGAUUGGGCGUAAAGGGCGCGUAGGCGGCCUGUUAAGUCUGGAGUGAAAGUCCUGCUUUCAAGAUGGGAAUUGCUUUGGAUACUGUCGGGCUUGAGUGCAGGAGAGGUCACCGCAAUUCCCCGUGUCGCGCUGACAUGCGUAGAGAUUGGGAGGAACACCAGUGGCGAAGGCGACUUACUGGACUGUAACUGACGCUGAGGCGCGAAAGUGUGGGGAGCAAACAGGAUUAGAUACCCUGGUAGUCCACACUGUAAACGAUGAAUGCUAGGUGUAGGGGGUAUCGACCCCUUCUGUGCCGCAGUCAACACAAUAAGCAUUCCGCCUGGGGAGUACGGCCGCAAGGUUGAAACUCAAAUGAAUUGACGGGG
rnacentral:rRNA from 1 species